GAGAGAGAGAGGAGGAGGAGAGGGGGGUUUGGAGAUUUGGUGAAGGAAGAUGGGGAAGCAAUGAAGGAUGUUAAGAUGGUUUUAUUUCCAGUUAAGAGGGAAAUAAGGAUGGGUGGUGGUGGAUUGGUUGACAUGUGGAGUUUGUUCACCAUCGUCUCCUGCAUGGCUUGGCAUGCGUGUGUGUAUAUGUAUAUAUUUAUGUGACUGCUUCCACUGAAGGGGAGGAGAGUUUGGGUGAGAGUCCUCCACAUGGAAGUCCUUUGUGAAACCACAGUUGGAAGAUCAGAUGGCUACCAGCUUGUGUUCAAACAGAUAAGGAGGAUGACUCGUGCUGGAGGUCUAUUGAAUGGCGCUGAGGAAAGGGAGCAUCAGUUUCGGUGUGGGGAACCCGCAUCCAUUAAAGGUCGCUGUUAAGCGACAACUUUGGGGGUAUAAUGUUCAACUCCCCUGAUUGGGUGUGAUCUGUAUCUUCCGUGCAAAAGAAUGAUUGGUUUUUUAUGGUGCGAACCAUUGGAUCACAGUUAUACAUGGUUUGCCCAACACAACGUCUACAUCAUGAUCAGUACUAAUGAAUAAAAAAACAAAGAUUGAAAUAUUUUUAAAAUUGUACAAAUCAUGAUCCAACGGUUGACGUCGUGAAAGAGAAUUUAUCAUGAUACAAACCGGAUGUGAGGGUGAGUCAUGGAUAAAGCCUACAUGGAUUCAUCAACCAUUUAGUAACAAGCUAUGCUGCAGCGCUCCUGCCAUGUGUAUACAAGCAAUCAACAUGACAUGUGGCAGGAGAGGAUUGAUUGAUUAUGGAGUUGCCAAAUCAACAAUGAUGGCUCGUUCAACUUGUCCUGCAUCCACAACAAGUAUUGCCGAAAUUCACCGACGUGAUAAUAAAUGAUCAAGAUGAUGACGAGGUUAUCUUAUAGAUAUGGUGUUGAUAUCAUUGGAACAUCCAAUGCAGAUGACGACCGAGUUGCCUUAACAAUGACUGCAUGUUGAAUGGCAGCCACCUACCGAUCAUGUGUGAACCAAGGAGCAGACGUGUCGAGGCUCGUGCUUAGCAUGGACUGAUAAUGGCCUCCUCCCUUGGCAGCGUUCCGCCUCCGUUCCAGUAUCUGUCAAUCAUGCCUCAUGCACAUAAAAAAAAAAAAAAAAGAGAGGAAUAUAAUAUACAGCUGUAUGAGAAUAUGCCACUGAGGAUAGGUAAUCUUGCUAUCAAACAAGGGAAGAUUAUUCUUGAUUAUUCUAGAUGCAAAGAAUGGUGUUCUUCUGAU